AAAAUUCAAACAAGAGGCUGUCACAACGACAGCAAACCGGAUUUAUUAAUAUUUAUUUGUGUCCUGGCAAUAUCACAAGAACCAUUACUGAUGAAUGGUGAAAGUGAAAAUCGUCAAUAUCAAAUUUGACCUCCAUUUUGUCAUCAGUAUCGACAUCUUAAAAUUUGAAAAGCUUAGAUUGAAUGGUUCAUGAGUAAAUGCAACAACAUGAAUGGAAACGCCAUUUCACAAUCUUUCAAGAACCAUAAAUCCUGAACGGUAAAAGUCAAAAUCGUC
rnacentral:lncRNA from 1 species